AGCAGGACGUUUUGGUCGCAAAGGUAAGUUUCUUUAUUUUGUUCUGAUUUUGUGGUCGGUUUUGCUUUUAUCUAAGAAUAUAUUUUUAGGAGAUAGUUAUCACUUAUUUGUUUUUUUUUGGUUUUAUAUUGUGAAAUAUCACUGUAUUUAGGGUUGCGCAAUUUUCAGUUAUAAUUGAAAAAUCAAACCAAACUCAUUCAGUUUUUUUGGUUUUUGGUUUUGGUUAGUACUUUUGACAAAUUUUGGUUUUUCAGUUCAGUUAAAAAAAAAAAUGAACUACUCGAACUGACUGAAAUUUGAAACUGUCAUUUUCACCCAUAUAUAUGCUCACCCAUUGAAAAUUCGCCCCUUUGCUCUGCCUUCUCCUUCAUCCCUCCCUAUCUCAAACUCUCAUCCUGUGAAGCAUGGAAAUGGCAUAGAUUGAAGUUUCCUCGUUUCGAAAACGUUUCCGACACAGAUACGGCGGGACAUGGCAAAGAAACGUAUCAGGGCUGUGUCUGGAAAUAGAGAAAGAUGGACACGCAUUUCCUCUUAAGAAACGUGUUUCUUGAAAAAAAAAAUGAAUGCAGGAUCAAAGUCGCAGGCAAA
rnacentral:misc_RNA from 1 species